rnacentral:lncRNA from 1 species
GAGAAAGCAGUAGAGCAAAGGAACCCAGAGAGGUUCCACCAACCGGUUACGUCGGCACCGAUGUAGCGGCGGUGUUCAGGUUUCAACUUACAUAAUGUCGUCGUAGUAGGUGAACAUCUCAAGACAUAAGUCUCAAACAAGCACUCGAUGAUGGCGACUAGGGUUUCAACGAAGGUUCCGACAACUUUGUAAGUCUCAACACUUCAUUUUUAUAGUUUCCGGCAACUGAUGGGUGUUCUUGGUGGUUCUGUACUCCGGAAUUCUCCGACGAUAUUGGGGUUUAGGCAGCGGUGGCGUGGUAGUCGAGGACAUGACAGUGAAGAGUAACCCUGGUGGUGGUGCGAUGAUGGACCAGACUGUGUUCCAAAAACAGAACUUCGAGUAACAAAAAUCACCCGAGAGUGUGUUUUACUGAGUAAAUGUGAUCGUUGGCGUAAAGGAAGAUAGACUGAUGAUGACUGGGCUGCACACAGUUGCUGAUAUUUCUGCGUCAAAUGUGGAUCAAUUGUUGGAUGGACAUACGAAACGACGCAUGAUGAGGCCCAAAAGUACAAGGAAGGGAAAUCAGUCCUGGAACGGAUUUGGAAGACAAGCUGCACCAAGGUGAACUUUUUGACGCAUUGGGUU